rnacentral:rRNA from 1 species
AUUGAACGCUGGCGGCAGGCCUAACACAUUCAAGUCGAACGAGUGGCGGACGGGUGAGUAAUGUCUGGGAAACUGCCCGAUGGAGGGGGAUAACUACUGGAAACGGUAGCUAAUACCGCAUACCAUCGGAUGUGCCCAGAUGGGAUUAGCUAGUUGGUGGGGUAACGGCUCACCAAGGCCACGAUCCGUAGCUGGUUUGAGAGGCCGACCAGCCACACUGGAACGGAGACACGGCCCAGACUCCUACGGGAGGCAGCAGUGGGGAAUUGUGGACAAUGGGGGAAACCCUGAGACAGCCAUCCCGCGUGUGUGAUGAAGGCCUUCGGGUUGUAAAGCACUUUUGGCAGGAAAGCGGUACCUGCAGAAGAAGCACCGGCUAACUACGUGCCAGCAGCCGCGGUAAUAC